rnacentral:rRNA from 1 species
AUGGCUGGAAGGCCACCACAUGGAGCAUGCCGAUCCCGAUCCUUUCAUGGAAGGACUGGAGCCCUGGCUGCACUGUCUAUGUCGAUGAGAUCGUCGUUGAGCCAUUGCACUACAAGCUGCUGCCUGGAACGCCAGGCAGUAUCAGUGACAGUGAGCCCACCGAGUCCAUGUUGCUGUCAGUCCUCAGUCCUCGCCGCGGGUUUCCCCACAAUGAGUAUGGAUGAUGAUGUUGUUGUGUACCUGCUGUCCAAGGCAUGCUCCGCUGGCGAGAUGGAAGUGGUGAUUGCUGUUGAUUUGAGGAAGAAGACAUUGCGAGGAGUGGGCAAGCUUGUUGCCGGAAAAGACUUCACUGACACGCGCAACCGCACCACUGAGAUGUCCAAGUAUCUCAGUCUCAAUAAGACUGCAGGGCACUUGAAUUAG